AUAGACAAGACAUAAAGCGAAGCUUCAAAAAAAAUUGAAUGACAUAUCUUCAAAACAUGUUUCUAUAAGAUUCUUAAUUUCUUUUUAUUAUCCAAGAUAAUUUUAGAAGAAACAAAUUUAUACUUACUUCUUAUUUAUAUAAUGAGGUUGUACUAAAAAAAAAAACACGAAAAAAAAUUGAAAAUAAGAAAAAGAAACUCGC
rnacentral:lncRNA from 1 species